AGCGGGGUGGCGAAGUGGUAUCGCAUUAGGCUCAUAACCUAAAGAUCAUUGGUUCGAAUCCUUUCUCCGCUU